AGUAAAACAGUACGUGAAAUUGUUGAAAGGGAAACGAUUGAAGUCAGUCAUGCCGGCGUUGGAUUCAGCUUGCUUCGCGGAGCUUGCGCAUUUCCUCGCAUGGCAGGUCAGCGUCAGUUUUGCGCGGCGUGAAAAGGCUCGGGUAAGGUAGCUCUCUUCGGGGAGUGUUAUAGACCUGGGCAAAUGCGCAGCGCGGGACUGAGGAUUGCAGCGGACACCUCUUCGGAGGCGCGGCGACCGAACCCUGCUCGGCCACCCUCGUUCGAUAGCGUGCUAACGGACGCGGGAGCGGCAGUGCACCGGAACAGGCAAGCCAGCGGUUCGUUUAGGAUGCUGACGUAAUGGCUUUAAA
rnacentral:misc_RNA from 1 species